rnacentral:sRNA from 1 species
CUGUCAGGGCUAGAGACUGGAGUCCUCUGUUCAUUCAUACACCAGGUAGGGUACAAACAGGCAAAAUGCAAAUCUGUCUGUCAGUAAUCAAAAAUUUGGCCUUGGUGGGGGGUACCCAGUUAAAUGAAGGUGGUUAAUUUUUCCUCCCCGCUGCUUCAUUCCUGGGCCCCU